rnacentral:rRNA from 1 species
CCUACGGGGGGCUGCAGUGGGGAAUAUUGGACAAUGGGGGCAACCCUGAUCCAGCCAUGCCGCGUGUGUGAAGAAGGCCCUCGGGUUGUAAAGCACUUUCAGUGAGGAAGAACGCCUGGUGGUUAAUACCCAUCAGGAAAGACAUCACUCACAGAAGAAGCACCGGCUAACUCCGUGCCAGCAGCCGCGGUAAUACGGAGGGUGCGAGCGUUAAUCGGAAUUACUGGGCGUAAAGCGCGCGUAGGUGGCUUGAUAAGUCGGUUGUGAAAGCCCCGGGCUCAACCUGGGAACGGCAUCCGGAACUGUCAAGCUAGAGUGCAGGAGAGGAAGGUAGAAUUCCCGGUGUAGCGGUGAAAUGCGUAGAGAUCGGGAGGAAUACCAGUGGCGAAGGCGGCCUUCUGGACUGACACUGACACUGAGGUGCGAAAGCGUGGGUAGCAAACAGGAUUAGAUACCCUAGUAGUC